UCCCUCGAAUGAGGGCAGUCUCAUCUGAAAAAUCCAACAGAUGAUGAGGGUUUCGCUCGUUUACCCACUUAAGGGCACAGCUCACGCCACGAGCUGACGACAGCCGUGCAACACCUGUCUUACGGUUCCCUUGCGGGCACGGUCCUGUUUCCAGGACGUUCCGUAGAUGUCAAACCCUGGUAAGGUUCUCCGGUUAUCGUCGAAUUAAACCACAUGCUCCACCGCUUGUGCGAUCCCCCGUCAAUUCCUUUGAGUUUUAGUCUUGCGACCGUACUCCCCAGGCGGCACACUUAACGCGUUAGCUUCGCUACAAGAAGGGUCGAUGCUUCUGAUAGCUAGUGUGCAUCGUUUACGGCGUGGACUAC
rnacentral:misc_RNA from 1 species